rnacentral:rRNA from 1 species
GAUGAACGCUAGCUACAGGCUUAACACAUGCAAGUCGAGGGGAAACGAUAUUGGAAGCUUGCUUCCGAUAGGCGUCGACCGGCGCACGGGUGAGUAACGCGUAUCCAACCUGCCCAUCACUUGGGGAUAACCUUGCGAAAGUAAGACUAAUACCCAAUGACGUCUCUAGAAGACAUCUGAAAGAGAUUAAAGAUUUAUCGGUGAUGGAUGGGGAUGCGUCUGAUUAGCUUGUUGGCGGGGUAACUGCCCACCAAGGCGACGAUCAGUAGGGGUUCUGAGAGGAAGGUCCCCCACAUUGGAACGUAGACACGGUCCAAACUCCUACGGGAGGCAGCAGUGAGGAAUAUUGGUCAAUGGGCGAGAGCCUGAACCAGCCAAGUAGCGUGCAGGGUGACGGCCCUAUGGGUUGUAAACCGCUUUUAUAAGGGAAUAAAGUGAGAGUCGUGACUCUUUUUGCAUGUACCUUAUGAAUAAGGACCGGCUAAUUCCGUGCCAGCCGCCGCGGUAA